AUUAUAUAUGGGUCAUUCCAUGGGGUUGGGGCAAAAAUUGUGACAUCAGGGUCAAAAAAUAGAAAUGUAAUAAAUGAAAUGUUUUAUUUCUUAUAUGUUUCAUGGGACAAUCCUUCAACUAAAUCCACUUACAGGCAUUUCAUACCACCCUGCAUAUUGGAGUAAACUGAGAAAUAAGAUUUGACAAAAUACCACCGUUACAUGGACAUCAUUUAUCAUCCUUACUAAGACUAUGCUCUCCCACUGUCAAAAUAAAGGGGUUGAUCUCCAUUACUCUUGAUAAAUAUUUUGCUAACAACAUUGUUAGUCAUUUUAUUCCACACUUUUCAACAUGGCAUAUAUAUUUUGAAAGAUUUAGCAUCAAUAUAUGGAACUUGAUGCUCUGUGUGUAUACCAGUGCCAUGUUCUGUGUCGUUCUUUUUUCUCACCAGUCUAGAAAAUUGAAUUUAUGAUGGCAUGUAGAACUAAAUAGUUGAGAGAAGUCAUGCCUCAACAGAAUGGAAUAUUCUCUUUGGAAAAAAUAAACUACUCUUUCUGGCAUAACCUUCUAUUUUUGGUGUUACCACCGUUACAUGGACAUCAUGUCUCAGUAACAGAGGUAUACUUAGAAGCAAUGUUAAGUUAAUGUCCAUUAAUGGCCAUUACACACCAAAUUCCACUUCAUGCCUUAGAAUAUUUGCACAAGAUCAAUUGAUUACACUAAAGAAAAACAUUUUGCAUGUCAAAUUCUUUGCAAAUAAAAGCAAAUUAAAUUAGAGUUUAAACAAGGAAAAAUGUACAAAAUUAUUAACAAAUUAUAUUUAAAAUCAUACUACGAUAAUCCUCAAGUUUCCACUUCCGUCUACCUCUGGAAACAUUUACGUUUCUGCCUAAAUGGAAAAAACAAAACAGUGCUAUCUUAUGAUCUCCAAUUCUUUUUACUUUAAAAUAACUCCUUCAAGAUAUUACUUUCAAAUGUACAUACCACCGUUACAUGGACAUCAUGUCUCAGUAACAGAGGUAUACUUUGAAGCAUUGCUAAGUUAAGGUCCAUUAAUGGCCAUUAAACACCAAAUUCCACUUCAUGCCUUAGAAUAUUUGCACAAGAUCAAUUGAUUAUACUAAAAAACAUUUUUCAUGUCAAAUUCUUUGCAAAUAAAAGCAAUUUAAAUUAGAGUUUAAACAAGGAAAAAUGUACAAAAUUAUUGAUAAAUUUAUAUUUAAAAUAAUACUAAGGUAAUCCUCAAGGUUCCACUUCCGUCUAUCUCUGGAAACAAAUGUUUCUGUCUAAAGCGGAAAAAAACAAAAGAGUGCUAGCUUAUGAUCUCCAAAUCUUUAUUACUUUAAAAUAUCUCCUUCACGGUAUUACUUUCAAAUGUACAUACCUCCGUUACAUGGACAUCAUGUCCUUGUAAUGAUCAUAUUGAAUAGUAUUACAUGUACUUGCCAUUCUUUUAGUAUCAACACACUAAUGCGAGUUAACUCAUCUUACUCAAGUGUAGAAAUACAACAUCUACAGGCAAGCUUCUAAAAUGCAUCAAUGAACAGGUUACAAGUUUAUGAACUUCAAGAUGAUCGGUGACCCAAUGACAACUGUGUGGAAGAGGACUCUGUCAAUGUCACAAAAUAGAUAGAGGUAGAAUUGUGCCUCGCCAUCAGGCCAGGAGUACAGGUCACCAGAUUGACACUUCAUGUACUGAAGAUAUACAUUUUUACCUUCAACAGAG
rnacentral:lncRNA from 1 species